GAUGAACGCUGGCGGCGUGCCUAAUACAUGCAAGUCGAGCGGAAGGACGAGAAGCUUGCUUCUCUGAUGUUAGCGGCGGACGGGUGAGUAACACGUGGAUAACCUACUUAUAAUACUGGUAUAAUUUCGGGAAACCGGAGCUAACCCCGGAGAAUAUUUUGAACCGCAUGGUUCAAAAGUGAAAGACGGUGUUGCUGUCACUUAUAGAUGGAUCCGGGCUGCAUUAGCUAGUUGGUAGGGUAACGGCUUACCAAGGCGACGAUGCAUAGACGAAGGGAGAGGCUGAUAGGCGACACGGGAACGGGGACAGGGACAAGACUACUACGGGAGGCAGCAGUAGGGAAUCUUCCGCAAUGGGCGAAAGCCUGACGCAGCAACGCCGCGUGUGUGAUAAAGGCCUUCGGAUCGUAAAACUCUGUUAUUAGGGAAGAACAUCUGUGUCCGUAACUGUACACAUCUUGACGGUACCUAAUCAAAAAGCACCGGCUAACUACGUG
rnacentral:rRNA from 1 species